AAGGGCACGAGUCCAUCUCACCACCUUGACUUGCUGACUGAUGCUCGUCUGCACUGCACAGAGGAAAUCAACUGACCGAGGAGUGUUUCUGAGUGAGGGAGAGAGGAGUCAUCAUCCAGGUAAAGUGACGUGGAUCAGUGGACACACUUGUCUCCCCUUUAAAGGAGAUACUCUUAGAGAGAGACGAUCCGAGUCAUCCCUAAAUAUGGGCAGGAUAUCAGUCUUGGACUGUCUAACCUGCCGGAGCAGCACUGAAUGACCACCACACAUGAGCAUGUUCCUGCAACAUUCAGCAGCUUUGCUUUUGUGUCAAAUGUCCAACAGCUGGAGAGGAAACUAAACCAGUGUACUGGGAUGUUUCACCAACACGUGCCAGAUGCUGUUCCUUCAUGGUGACAUCACCAGAGACAGCCCCGCCCACCUCAGGACCUCGCCAUUGAUCAUGAUGAUUAUAAUGAUGACAGCGAGCGGAACUAA